rnacentral:rRNA from 1 species
GAUGAACGCUGGCGGCGUGCCUAAUACAUGCAAGUCGAGCGAACGGACGAGAAGCUUGCUUCUCUGAUGUUAGCGGCGGACGGGUGAGUAACACGUGGAUAACCUACCUAUAAGACUGGGAUAACUUCGGGAAACCGGAGCUAAUACCGGAUAAUAUUUUGAACCGCAUGGUUCAAAAGUGAAAGACGGUCUUGCCGUCACUUAUAGAUGGAUCCGCGCUGCAUUAGCUAGUUGGUAAGGUAACGGCUUACCAAGGCAACGAUGCAUAGCCGACCUGAGAGGGUGAUCGGCCACACUGGAACUGAGACACGGUCCAGACUCCUACGGGAGGCAGCAGUGGGGAAUCUUCCGCAAUGGGCGAAAGCCUGACGGAGCAACGCCGCGUGAGUGAUGAAGGUCUUCGGAUCGUAAAACUCUGUUAUUGGGGAAGAACAUAUGUGUAAGUAACUGUGCACAUCUUGACGGUACCUAAUCAGAAAGCCACGGCUAACUACGUG